rnacentral:rRNA from 1 species
UACAGGGGGGGCAAGCGUUGUUCGGAAUUACUGGGCGUAAAGGGUUCGUAGGUGGCCACUUAAGUCAGACGUGAAAUCCCUCAGCUUAACUGGGGAACUGCGUCUGAUACUGCGUGGCUUGAGUGCAGGAGAGGAAUGCGGAAUUCCAGGUGUAGCGGUGAAAUGCGUAGAUAUCUGGAGGAACACCGGUGGCGAAGGCGGCAUUCUGGACUGUAACUGACACUGAUGAACGAAAGCCAGGGGAGCAAACGGG